rnacentral:rRNA from 1 species
AGAGUUUGAUCCUGGCUCAGAAUCAACGCUGGCGGCGCGCCUAACACAUGCAAGUCGAACGAGAAAGUGGAGCAAUCCAUGAGUACAGUGGCGUACGGGUGAGUAACACGUGGGUGAUCUACCUCUUAGUGAGGAAUAACCCUGGGAAACCGGGGCUAAUACCGCAUAAGCCUUAGCAGGGAAAGUCGAAAGACGCUGAGAGAGGAGCCCGCGGCCGAUUAGCUAGUUGGUGAGGUAAAAGCCCACCAAGGCAGAGAUCGGUAGCCGGCCUGAGAGGGCACACGGCCACACUGGCACUGAAACACGGGCCAGACUCCUACGGGAGGCAGCAGUGGGGAAUCUUGCACAAUGGGGAAACCCUGAUGCAGCGACGCCGCGUGAGCGAUGAAGCCCUUCGGGGUGUAAAGCUCUUUCGUCAGGGAAGAUAGUGACGGUACCUGGAGAAGCAGCUGCGGCUAACUACGUGCCAGCAGCCGCGGUAAUACGUAGGCAGCAAGCGUUGUUCGGAGUUACUGGGCGUAAAGGGUGUGUAGGCGGUUCUUUAAGUUUGGUGUGAAAUCUCCCGGCUCAACCGGGAGGGUGCGCCGAAUACUGAGGGACUAGAGUGCGGGAGAGGAAAGUGGAAUUCCUGGUGUAGCGGUGAAAUGCGUAGAUAUCAGGAGGAACACCGGUGGUGUAGACGGCUUUCUGGACCGUAACUGACGCUGAAACACGAAAGCGUGGGUAGCAAACAGGAUUAGAUACCCUAGUAGUCC